rnacentral:rRNA from 1 species
UACGUAGGGUGCAAGCGUUAUCCGGAAUUAUUGGGCGUAAAGAGCUCGUAGGCGGUUCAGUAAGUCGGGUGUGAAAACUUUGGGCUUAACCCAAAGCGUGCAUCCGAUACUGCUGUGACUUGAGUACGGUAGGGGAGCGAGGAAUUCCUAGUGUAGCGGUGAAAUGCGCAGAUAUUAGGAGGAACGCCGGUGGCGAAGGCGCCGCUCUGGGCCGAAACUGACGCUGAAGAGCGAAAGCAUGGAUAGCAAACAGG